GCGGAUGUGGCGGAACUGGCAGACGCGCUGGAUUUAGGUUCCAGUGCCUUCGGGCGUGCAGGUUCGAUUCCUGUCAUCCGCA
rfam:Weissella viridescens strain DSM 20410 Scaffold2, whole genome shotgun sequence.